GACGAACGCUGGCGGCGUGCUUAACACAUGCAAGUCGAACGGAAAGGCCCUGCUUUUGUGGGGUGCUCGAGUGGCGAACGGGUGAGUAACACGUGAGUAACCUGCCCUUGACUUUGGGAUAACUUCAGGAAACUGGGGCUAAUACCGGAUAGGAGCUCCUGCUGCAUGGUGGGGGUUGGAAAGUUUCGGCGGUUGGGGAUGGACUCGCGGCUUAUCAGCUUGUUGGUGGGGUAGUGGCUUACCAAGGCUUUGACGGGUAGCCGGCCUGAGAGGGUGACCGGCCACAUGGGGCCUGGGGAAGGGCCCGGACUCCAACGGGGGGAAGCGGUGGGAAAAUUUGCACAAGGGGCGGAGGCCGGAAGCAGCACCGCCGGUGCGGGAAUGACGGCCUUCGGGUUGGAACCCGCUUCCGCCUGGGCCGAAGCGUAGUGAAGGUAAAUGGUUAAAGAGCCACCGCUAACUACGUG
rnacentral:rRNA from 1 species